CCAGAUUCUUCCUGUUGAUGUCCAAUUGACAAAAAUAUCUUAGGGAAGAAGGUGAAGAAACAAGCUUCUUAGAGACUAUGUAACUUGGCCAAAUGUCAAGGAUAUUUGAGAUUCAAGCCCAAAUUCUUCAGACUAUGGAGCCCAUGCUAAUUCCAGGACACCAUGAAAUCACACACGUGUGAAGGCAAUUCUUGAACUACGGGGAUGCAGUUCUCAGUCUUCUUAUUCUGUAACACACAUCACCAAUCAACAUUCGCAUGAGAAACCCAAGCUUAUGCCCAAUUCCUGGAAUACUAUCUUUACCUGGAUCAUAUUCUCUGCCACAGAAGAAAGCAUGUGAAGAAGUCCAGUCUCCUUUGAUGCAUCGAAAGUCAAAUACACUGUAACAUGGGAUACAAGUACAUCUGACAAAGAGGCACGUUUUAUUACUAAACUUGGAAAUGAAUUAAUCUAAUUACUGCUGAAUUGCUUGACCAACACGAACACCUAGGAAGGUAUGCUGUGGCUGCAAUUGUCAUCGUAAGUGAUACAACCACCAGUUGGAGAGUGCUUUGGAACUUUAAAGUGCCACACUGGGUAAAAGGUUUUCUACUAUCUUACUGUGAUUGGUAUAACCCUGGAACAAUAAAGAUUCUGAAUCUCAGGCAUUGGAAACAUCUGGUUCUUUGGUUUACAUCCAUCCCUUCCUCUGAGGUAGGACCUCUUCUCCAAAUACAAGCCAAUAUGUUGUCCUGAGGCAUGGAGGCAUUUACUGCCACAGAAUUCACCACAUAUUGGUUAUGGAGUGAGCACAUGACUGAAGUGAGUCAUAUCAUGUAUGAUACCCUAUGGUCUGCCAGUGGAUAUUUGCCCAGAGAUGGUCAUAAAACCAACAGGAGCCUAUCGGAGUACCCUCCCAGGGGCUUUCUAACUAGAGUCAGAGGGAAAUGUUCCCUUUCACCCCUUUUUGGUAGCAAGGCUGUGACAGUGUAAGUCCCAAGCUGCCCAUGGUCCCGUUCCUUCUGCCAAAUGAAGAAAGUCUCCUAGUAGUAGAAGAGAAUAAAGUUGACAUGAAGGGAGAAGAAGAUACAAAAGAUACAGAUUCCUGAGAGUUUUGAGUUCUUGAAUUCAAUGGCCACAAAGACAGCUGCAACACAAGCUUCUCUGAGAUUCAGCUAUGUGAGUUGAUAAUCACCUCCUUUCCAAGCCACUUGUGCCUGUUGCUUUUCUUUGAGUUCCUGUCACUUAUAACCCAAAGUUUCUGUGUAAUACACACUCUGUAAGAUUGAUACUAAUGAUAUUGUAAGAGCAUUUCUCUGGGAAUAAAGUAUGAGGUGUUACUA